rnacentral:rRNA from 12 species
UCCGUUGGUGAACCAGCGGAAGGAUCAUUA